CGAAAACCUUCUCGGCUUUCGUCUCCUCGGCAUGGAAGUCGACUUGGAGAACCGCGAAGCCCGAAGCUCUUCGGGAGGAAGCAAUCCGUCUACAGGAAUCUUGUGAGAUCCGCGGGUAACCGUACAAGAGACAGCAGUACUACAUGAAGAAUUCCCUUCACUCUCUCGUACCCAAGCGGAAGCUCUGCCUCCGCGGUGAUUCUCUAAUUACUGACCGUUUGUGGACUUCUUUCUUGAUAGGUUGGGUAUAUGAGGUACAAUGUGGCUGUCCUGCCUUUCCUUAUAAGGUCGAUAUCUUGGUUCUCUUGAAUCUUUGUUUUAGGCUAUAUAUCUCAGCAUAAACGAAUUAUUUUAUGAUAUUAGUUUUUCAGUCUUAACUUAUCUUUUUGUUGCAGUUAAUACAGUUUAGGAUAUUGAAUAAGAGAGAGAAUGCAUCAUUGUCUAAACAAUUUACAAUCAUACGAAACUCAAGCACACUGUUCUUGAUGGAUACUAUAAGGAGUUAAAUUUUAGUCGACAGCACCAUUCCCGGUGCAAGCCAUAUUGACAAAUAUAUCUUUGCUUGGAUUGAACUUCUGUUUUGCCAUUUUAUUUGAUAUUCAAUGAUCUGAAGUUCCUCUAGCAAACUCUCAUAAUUUUGUGCAGCCUGAUGAUCAUAUUUUAUCAGACGAUGAUAAUGGAGGAGCUAAACUCAUGGGAAGUGUGCUCGAUCUUUUAUAUGUCAUAACAGGUUCCACAUCAUAUAUUUGAAGGUUCUGUAUGCUUUAGGAAAAGAAAACUUAUCUUACUAGUAUGUAUGUGAACUAUGCAAAUUCCAUUAUCCACAUGAUUCAUCAUUUUCUUUCCAACAGGAACUAUAGUUGCUAUUCAUGGAAAGGAAACUAGUGAUGGUGAUUUUUUCUUUAUUCAAGAUGUGCUGGAAGCUGGCCUAACCCUGCAAAAUGAAGUCACCUAGCUCAAGUAUUUUGUGACAUGACGGUCUCUUAAAAUUACAAAUGUCCUGCAUCUUGACUACUAUUAAUGUGAUGAUUGCUUGAUAGGACCAGAAGUAUGCUCAUUGACAAGUGAGGAAGCCUAGAUGACUGCUAGAAGAGUCAAAAGUUCCUUUGGCUAUAGGAAUUCUCUACGAGCAACUGAGAACUUCACAGUCUGCACAUUAAGAUGAGCUCUAGAACUAUAUUUGAAGUUUGGCUAUAGGAAUUCCGAAUUCUCUACGUGCAAUGGAAAACUUCAAAGUCGCACAUUGAGAUGAACUCUAGAACUAUAUUUGAAUUAAGUAACUUCACUGUUCACAUUUUAUGUUGGCUUUAGUUUUUGGUCAAAGCGAUGGUUUUUUUUUUAUGUGCUGACUAAAGCCAAUAUGUUACAACUAAAAUGGACCGACUUCAACUAGUGUAACCCCACAACUUUAAUUUGCCAAAACUAUCUGAAAAUCAUGUCAUUUUCCACUGAAAUCGAUUGAAAAAUAAUUGGAACUCAUUAAUAUCCACUCUCAAAGCCUCGAUGUAAGGUUUCAUUUUUUAGAUCUCUUCUAAUCUAUUUCUGUAAUUCUCCCUGAUUUCUUAGCUUGCCAACUCGAGUCCAUCCGGAUCUUCCCAAUAAAAAAGAGCUGAUUUAGCUUGAACCAGUCAAUGUUUAAUAGAAAAUAUUGGAUAUUCCCAAUACAGAAUUUUUUCAUAAGCUCAGUUCACAGAGAUCUCGGUAAAAUACUUACAGUGGUUGAUUCCAUGAUUUUAUGAGUCCUUACAGCAUCAGCACUGAGUCUUGGAUAGAAACCAAGUUGGAAACCUUAAGGAGUUAACAGACACAUGUGCUUACUUCAGACUUUUAUUGUUGUGUGUCAUGGUACAUCUAGAACUCUAUCAAAAGAUAAAAAGCUAAACCAGCAUUUAGUGUGCUUUACAAUUCAGAAUUAAUUACUAAUUGCUGUGUGAAAAACCAGGCAAGAUUUCAGAUGUCCUGUUACUCAUUAUCUUCUGACUCAUCUCUUCUGUAUUCUGUCAUCACUGUGUUCUGUUAUUGUAACGUUCUCUACAUUUUACUCUCAGUUGCCUAAGGUACCGGUGGAUGCCUAAUUUUUAACUGAUUACUGAAGUGUAUCCAAGGCUGGAAUGCCUUAUGGUUAUCUGGAUAUAGCAACAGAAACUUGCUGGCAUGAUCUUGUCUUAAAGCUUGGGGUAUCUAUUGCUAUUGAUAUGAAUGUAUAUUGCUGUAUGCCUGGACAGGAGGUCAUGCAUAGUCAGGUUUCUUGGAACCUCUUGCUGGAGUAUUGAUUACCUUUUCGAGUAUUCUUAGGCAAGAAGCAAACUUGAUACUAUGGAGAGGACAUCCAGAUGUUGGGCAAGCUGGCAUCAAUUGCUCAAAACACAAGUAGUAUUUUACUAGUGAUUAUGUCCUGAUCUCCUUAAUGUGGUUUAUGUAGGAUGCUUCCCCUUCAAUGUUUCCUCGUCAACGAGGAAAUCUCUCUACUUUAUUGAGAAAAUUUUUUUAUUCUAUCGAGAAAUUUUUUUUCUCAUAAUCUGUAUAAAUAGGAGAGCGAUAUGUUAAUGUA